GACGAACGCUGGCGGCGCGCCUAACACAUGCAAGUCGAACGGAGCGCACGAGAAGAUCCCUUCGGGGUGAUUUUUGUGUUUGCUUAGUGGCGAACGGGUGAGUAACACGUGAAUAACCUACCUCUGAGUGGGGACAACAGUUGGAAACGACUGCUAAUACCGCAUAAGACCACGGUACCGCAUGGUACAGAGGCCAAAGGAGCAAUUCGCUCAGAGAUGGAUUCGCGUCUGAUUAGAUAGUUGGUGGGGUAAUGGCUCACCAAGUCUGCGAUCAGUAGCCGGACUGAGAGGUCGAUCGGCCACAUUGGGACUGAGACACGGCCCAGACUCCUACGGGAGGCAGCAGUGGGGAAUAUUGCACAAUGGGCGAAAGCCUGAUGCAGCGACGCCGCGUGAGGGAAGAAGGUUUUCGGAUUGUAAACCUCUGUCUUUGGGGACGAAGAAGUGACGGUACCCAAGGAGGAAGCCACGGCUAACUACGUGCCAGCCGCCGCAGUAAUAC
rnacentral:rRNA from 1 species